GAUGAACGCUGGCGGCGUGCCUAAUACAUGCAAGUCGAACGAAGCCUUCGGGCUUAGUGGCGGACGGGUGAGUAACACGUUGGUACCUGCCUCGAAGUGGGGAAUAACUGGCCGAAAGGUCGGCUAAUACCGCAUGUGAUCGCAAGAUCAAAGUCGUAAGACGCUUCGAGAGGGGCCUGCGUCCCAUUAGCUAGUUGGUAGGGUAAUGGCCUACCAAGGCGACGAUGGGUAGCUGGAUCGAGAGGUUGACCAGCCACACUGGGACUGAGAUACGGCCCAGACUCCUACGGGAGGCAGCAGUAAGGAAUCUUCCACAAUGGACGAAAGUCUGAUGGAGCAACGCCGCGUGCAGGAUGACGGCCUUCGGGUUGUAACUGCUUUUAUAUGGGAAGAUUAUGACGGUACCAUAUGAAUAAGGACCGGCUAACUACGUGCCAGCAGCCGCGGUAA
rnacentral:rRNA from 1 species